UCUCUCUCUUUAAUCUUAUAAAAAUAACCUCUUUCAUUUGUGUAUUUUUUUCAAACCAAACCUUCUACCUUUUAAACUUUGCUUUCCCUUGAAUCAUGGUUGAUGGUUUAGGCAAAGAUGAUCCAUAUCUCUUUAUACCUCACACGGCCUAUGUUGAGGCUAUAGCUAAAAACAGACUCAGUUUGAUAGCUCUUCCUCUCAAUCCUACUUUGCAGAGUCUUCAUGUUGUUGUUGACUCAUUACCAAGAACUUGGGGAUUAGCUUCUCGAGUCCAUGGAAGAGUUUUAAAUGUUUCGUGGAAUUCAUCUUCCCUAUGGAGAAUAGCUCAAUCUUUGGGUGAAGUAGUUUACCUGGAGAUACUACUUUUUAAAUAGCUUUCAUCUGAGUUAGAAUCCGUUUUGGAAUCACAGAUAGGCUUCGAUUCUUCCCUCAAUCAGCCUUAGGGAUGCAACAAUCUUCAACAGAUUCUAAUAUUACUCCAAGUUUUGAAGAAGAAAUCAAUCCCAAGAUUCCAAGAUGUUUUGAGGUUAGUGAAUCAUCAAAGCGCAAAAUUUUGCGUUUAGAUCUGAAGGUUACUUAUGGAAAUCAAAAACAAAAGUUUGUGGGUGUUGAUUAAGAGAAUUCCAUAAACCUCCAAAGAAAAGGCAGUUUCACUCUUCAAAUUCUGUUGUGACUUUUUGGUUCCUGGAAAAUGAUUAUUGGUUAUGAAAGGAGGUUAGGAAUAUGUGUCCUACAACAGAUUAUGAUCUCUUUUUGGUUUAUAAUCGUUUAGUCAAUAGUUUAACAGUUUCUGCCCAAACCUUUAUGAAGAUCAGAAAAAGACGAAGCUUUUCAAGAUCAGCUUCUUUUGGUUAUAUUUAGCUUUCUUUUGUAAUAGUUAAUAGUUUCUAUUUUUAAUCAAGAGGCUGCUCCACUAACAUGCUUGUUUGUACUGAGUUUUGUAUAAUAUAAAAGUUAAAA